rnacentral:rRNA from 1 species
UUAUGUUGGCUGUCCACAUGUGUAAAAAACAUGUGUAGCAAGGGCCGGGCAAGACCGGUGCCAGCCGCCGCGGUAACACCGGCGGCCCGAGUGGUAAUCACUUUUAUUGGGUCUAAAGGGUCCGUAGCCGGUUUGAUYAGUUCUUUGGGAAAUCUGACAGCUUAACUGCUAGGAUUCCAGGGGAAUACUGUCAGACUUGGGACCGGGAGAGGUAAGAGGUACUACAGGGGUAGGAGUGAAAUCUUGUAAUCCUUGUGGGACCACCAGUGGCGAAGGCGUCUUACYAGAACGGGUNNNNNGGUGAGGGACGAAAGUGGGGGCACGAACCGGAUUAGAUACCCGGGUAGUCCCAGCCGUAAACGAUGUUCGCUAGGUGUUAGGAGGUGGUGCGACCGUUUCUGGUGCCGUAGGGAAGCCGUGAAGCGA